UAAGGGCGCACGGUGGAUGCCUUGGCACUAGAAGCCGAUGAAGGACGUUACUAACGACGAUAUGCUUUGGGGAGCUGUAAGUAAGCUUUGAUCCAGAGAUUUCCGAAUGGGGAAACCCAGCAUGAGUUAUGUCAUGUUAUCGAUAUGUGAAUACAUAGCAUAUCAGAAGGCACACCCGGAGAACUGAAACAUCUUAGUACCCGGAGGAAGAGAAAGAAAAUUCGAUUCCCUUAGUAGCGGCGAGCGAAACGGGAAGAGCCCAAACCAACAAGCUUGCUUGUUGGGGUUGUAGGACACUCUAUACGGAGUUACAAAGGACGACAUUAGACGAAUCAUCUGGAAAGAUGAAUCAAAGAAGGUAAUAAUCCUGUAGUCGAAAAUGUUGUCUCUCUUGAGUGGAUCCUGAGUACGACGGAGCACGUGAAAUUCCGUCGGAAUCUGGGAGGACCAUCUCCUAAGGCUAAAUACUCUCUAGUGACCGAUAGUGAACCAGUACCGUGAGGGAAAGGUGAAAAGCACCCCGGGAGGGGAGUGAAAUAGAACCUGAAACCGUGUGCUUACAAGUAGUCAGAGCCCGUUAAUGGGUGAUGGCGUGCCUUUUGUAGAAUGAACCGGCGAGUUACGAUUUGAUGCAAGGUUAAGCAGUAAAUGUGGAGCCGUAGCGAAAGCGAGUCUGAAUAGGGCGUUUAGUAUUUGGUCGUAGACCCGAAACCAGGUGAUCUACCCUUGGUCAGGUUGAAGUUCAGGUAACACUGAAUGGAGGACCGAACCGACUUACGUUGAAAAGUGAGCGGAUGAACUGAGGGUAGCGGAGAAAUUCCAAUCGAACCUGGAGAUAGCUGGUUCUCUCCGAAAUAGCUUUAGGGCUAGCCUCAAGUGAUGAUUAUUGGAGGUAGAGCACUGUUUGGACGAGGGGCCCCUCUCGGGUUACCGAAUUCAGACAAACUCCGAAUGCCAAUUAAUUUAACUUGGGAGUCAGAACAUGGGUGAUAAGGUCCGUGUUCGAAAGGGAAACAGCCCAGACCACCAGCUAAGGUCCCAAAAUAUAUGUUAAGUGGAAAAGGAUGUGGCGUUGCCCAGACAACUAGGAUGUUGGCUUAGAAGCAGCCAUCAUUUAAAGAGUGCGUAAUAGCUCACUAGUCGAGUGACACUGCGCCGAAAAUGUACCGGGGCUAAACAUAUUACCGAAGCUGUGGAUUGUCCUUUGGACAAUGGUAGGAGAGCGUUCUAAGGGCGUUGAAGCAUGAUCGUAAGGACAUGUGGAGCGCUUAGAAGUGAGAAUGCCGGUGUGAGUAGCGAAAGACGGGUGAGAAUCCCGUCCACCGAUUGACUAAGGUUUCCAGAGGAAGGCUCGUCCGCUCUGGGUUAGUCGGGUCCUAAGCUGAGGCCGACAGGCGUAGGCGAUGGAUAACAGGUUGAUAUUCCUGUACCACCUAUAAUCGUUUUAAUCGAUGGGGGGACGCAGUAGGAUAGGCGAAGCGUGCGAUUGGAUUGCACGUCUAAGCAGUAAGGCUGAGUAUUAGGCAAAUCCGGUACUCGUUAAGGCUGAGCUGUGAUGGGGAGAAGACAUUGUGUCUUCGAGUCGUUGAUUUCACACUGCCGAGAAAAGCCUCUAGAUAGAAAAUAGGUGCCCGUACCGCAAACCGACACAGGUAGUCAAGAUGAGAAUUCUAAGGUGAGCGAGCGAACUCUCGUUAAGGAACUCGGCAAAAUGACCCCGUAACUUCGGGAGAAGGGGUGCUCUUUAGGGUUAACGCCCAGAAGAGCCGCAGUGAAUAGGCCCAAGCGACUGUUUAUCAAAAACACAGGUCUCUGCUAAACCGUAAGGUGAUGUAUAGGGGCUGACGCCUGCCCGGUGCUGGAAGGUUAAGAGGAGUGGUUAGCUUCUGCGAAGCUACGAAUCGAAGCCCCAGUAAACGGCGGCCGUAACUAUAACGGUCCUAAGGUAGCGAAAUUCCUUGUCGGGUAAGUUCCGACCCGCACGAAAGGCGUAACGAUUUGGGCACUGUCUCAACGAGAGACUCGGUGAAAUCAUAGUACCUGUGAAGAUGCAGGUUACCCGCGACAGGACGGAAAGACCCCGUGGAGCUUUACUGUAGCCUGAUAUUGAAAUUCGGCACAGCUUGUACAGGAUAGGUAGGAGCCUUUGAAACGUGAGCGCUAGCUUACGUGGAGGCGCUGGUGGGAUACUACCCUAGCUGUGUUGGCUUUCUAACCCGCACCACUUAUCGUGGUGGGAGACAGUGUCAGGCGGGCAGUUUGACUGGGGCGGUCGCCUCCUAAAAGGUAACGGAGGCGCUCAAAGGUUCCCUCAGAAUGGUUGGAAAUCAUUCAUAGAGUGUAAAGGCAUAAGGGAGCUUGACUGCGAGACCUACAAGUCGAGCAGGGUCGAAAGACGGACUUAGUGAUCCGGUGGUUCCGCAUGGAAGGGCCAUCGCUCAACGGAUAAAAGCUACCCCGGGGAUAACAGGCUUAUCUCCCCCAAGAGUUCACAUCGACGGGGAGGUUUGGCACCUCGAUGUCGGCUCAUCGCAUCCUGGGGCUGUAGUCGGUCCCAAGGGUUGGGCUGUUCGCCCAUUAAAGCGGUACGCGAGCUGGGUUCAGAACGUCGUGAGACAGUUCGGUCCCUAUCCGUCGUGGGCGUAGGAAAUUUGAGAGGAGCUGUCCUUAGUACGAGAGGACCGGGAUGGACAUACCUCUGGUGUACCAGUUGUCGUGCCAACGGCAUAGCUGGGUAGCUAUGUGUGGACGGGAUAAGUGCUGAAAGCAUCUAAGCAUGAAGCCCCCCUCAAGAUGAGAUUUCCCAACUUCGGUUAUAAGAUCCCU
rnacentral:rRNA from 1 species